AACAGGAUUAGAUACCCUGGUAGUCCACGCCGUAAACGUUGGGCGCUAGAUGUAGGGACCUUUCCACGGUUUCUGUGUCGUAGCUAACGCAUUAAGCGCCCCGCCUGGGGAGUACGGCCGCAAGGCUAAAACUCAAAGGAAUUGACGGGGGCCCGCACAAGCGGCGGAGCAUGCGGAUUAAUUCGAUGCAACGCGAAGAACCUUACCAAGGCUUGACAUACACCGGAAACGGCCAGAGAUGGUCGCCCCCUUGUGGUCGGUGUACAGGUGGUGCAUGGUUGUCGUCAGCUCGUGUCGUGAGAUGUUGGGUUAAGUCCCGCAACGAGCGCAACCCUCGUUCUAUGUUGCCAGCGCGUUAUGGCGGGGACUCAUAGGAGACUGCCGGGGUCAACUCGGAGGAAGGUGGGGAUGACGUCAAAUCAUCAUGCCCCUUAUGUCUUGGGCUUCACGCAUGCUACAAUGGCCGGUACAAAGGGCUGCGAUACCGUAAGGUGGAGCGAAUCCCAAAAAGCCGGUCUCAGUUCGGAUUGAGGUCUGCAACUCGACCUCAUGAAGUCGGAGUCGCUAGUAAUCGCAGAUCAGCAACGCUGCGGUGAAUACGUUCCCGGGCCUUGUACACACCGCCCGUCAAGUCAUGAAAGUCGGUAACACCCGAAGCCGGUGGCCUAACCCUUGUGGAAGGAGCCGUCGAAGGUGGGAUCGGUGAUUAGGACUAAGUCGUAACAAGGUAGCC
rnacentral:rRNA from 1 species